AGUAUCUGUUCAGCACUUGUCUAGUUUUGGAGGUUGCUUGGCAAUUCGUAAAUAGUUGAGCAGUUUUUGCCAGCUUCGUCAAGGUUGCCUGGCAACUUGUUCGCCCUCGGCGUUCCUGUAAAAUUUAAAACACAAACUUGAUUUUGAUGGCUGUUGGGUUGUUGCCAAGAAUCGCUGCCUGCUUGGGUAUGAUUGCACGUGUGGGAUUUGAUGUGCUAUUAGAUCAAGAUAGCCCCGUGGCGAAUUGUGGUUGUGAUAAGAGAGGGUUCACGUCGUUGUGGGGUUAAGUCAAUUUGCUGUCUGAAGAUGAAGCCCGCUAAUGCAGACGCUGCUGAGGCUGCCAAAGAUACAAGUAUCAUUGAAAUAUUGGCUGAUGAUAGAGAUGACGAUAGGGUGAAGACAUUUAUUUUGCAUGGUGAAGACCACACCCUUGGGAACUCAUUACGAUGGGUGCUACUGAAGGACAAGGAUGUUCAGUUCUGUGGAUACACAAUACCUCACCCAUCACAGCGUGAAGUGCAUCUGAGAAUCCAAACGUACAAGAAACCAGCAGUUGAUGUAUUACGCGAAGCAUUGGUUCGUCUCAGCGAACUUACCCAGAUGAUAGCUGACAAGGUCAAGGACAAAGCAGAAGCAUUCAAGGCAAGCACUGAAGAGGCUUCUCCCAUGCAGUCAUGAAGAACUUCAUCCUUUUCCUGGUGUUUGCUACUCACUGUAACCAUUUUGUGUACAAUAAACAACUUUGUCAAUGUUC